rnacentral:rRNA from 1 species
CGCGUAGGCGGCCUGUUAAGUCUGGAGUGAAAGUCCUGCUUUCAAGGUGGGAAUUGCUUUGGAUACUGGCGGGCCGGAGUGCAGGAGAGGUUAGUGGAAUUCCCGGUGUAGCGGUGAAAUGCGUAGAGAUCGGGAGGAACACCAGUGGCGAAGGCGACUAACUGGACUGUAACUGACGCUGAGGCGCGAAAGUGUGGGGAGCAAACA